rnacentral:rRNA from 1 species
UACGUAGGGGGCAAGCGUUGUUCGGAAUUACUGGGCGUAAAGGGCGCGUAGGCGGCACGGCAAGUCGGGAGUGAAAGGCCUGGGCUCAACCGAGGAACUGCUUUCGAGACUGCCGAGCUAGAGUGCGGAAGGGGCAACUGGAAUUCCCAGUGUAGCGGUGAAAUGCGUAGAUAUUGGGAAGAACACCUGAGGCGAAGGCGGGUUGCUGGGCCGACACUGACGCUGAGGCGCGAAAGCCAGGGGAGCAAAC